GACGAACGCUGGCGGCGUGCUUAACACAUGCAAGUCGAACGAUGAAGCCUUCGGGUGGAUUAGUGGCGAACGGGUGAGUAACACGUGGGUGAUCUGCCCUGCACUUUGGGAUAAGCCUGGGAAACUGGGUCUAAUACCGAAUAUGAUCAUGCUCUUCAUGGGGUGUGGUGGAAAGCUUUUGCGGUGUGGGAUGGGCCCGCGGCCUAUCAGCUUGUUGGUGGGGUAAUGGCCUACCAAGGCGACGACGGGUAGCCGGCCUGAGAGGGUGACCGGCCAAACUGGGACUGAGAUACGGCCCAGACUCCUACGGGAGGCAGCAGUGGGGAAUAUUGCACAAUGGGCGCAAGCCUGAUGCAGCGACGCCGCGUGAGGGAUGACGGCCUUCGGGUUGUAAACCUCUUUCAGCAGGGACGAAGCGCAAGUGACGGUACCUGCAGAAGAAGGACCGGCCAACUACGUGCCAGCCGCCGCCGUAAAAC
rnacentral:rRNA from 1 species